rnacentral:rRNA from 1 species
AGGACGAACGCUGGCGGCGUGCUUAACACAUGCAAGUCGAGCGGAAAGGCCUUUCGGGGUACUCGAGCGGCGAACGGGUGAGUAACACGUGAGUAAUCUGCCCAUCGCUUCAGGAUAGCCAUCGGAAACGGUGAUUAAUACUGGAUAUGACAUUCCUUCGCAUGUUGGGGUGUGGUAAAGUUUUUUCGGCGGUGGAUGUGCUCGCGGCCUAUCAGCUUGUUGGUGGGUAAUGGCCUACCGAAGGCUUUGACGGGUAGCCGGCCUGAGAGGGUGACCGGCCACACUGGGACUGAGACACGGCCCAGACUCCGUACGGGAGCAGCAGUGGGAAUAGUGGACAAGUGGGACGAAGCCUAGGACUCCAGCAACGCCGACGUGAGGAUGGACGGCCGUUCGGGUAGUAAGACUACGUUUUCGGACGGGAAGAACGGCGUA